rnacentral:ncRNA from 1 species
GGUAAAUUUGGUUUUGGUUUAUUUUUAGCUGUGUUCUUCAUAAAAUGCAUGGUACUAUAUGGAUUCUGGUAAGUAGAGAUUGAGUUGGUACCAAAGUGGUUAAAUACUGUUAUUGGUGCUCUCGGUUAGGCAUGAUGGGUUAAAGAUUACGCUUAGAUGGUAGCUACUAGUAUUACACCAGUGUUGGAGAUUGAGAUAUAAACGGAAGUUUGAUUCAGUGAGUGGGUUAAAAUUAAAGGUCCGGCGAAUGUUUGUGCCAGCAGCUGCGGUUACACAAACGGGCCAAGUUAAAAUCAAUUCGGCAGAAAAGAGGGUUAGGGGAGAUUAAUCUGGAUACGAGGAAUAAAUGCAUAUUUGAAUAAAGGUACAAUUCGGGUUGAUGUGGUAACGGCUUUUGUUCUCGGUAGCCUGAGGCCCUGAAAUCCUGAGGAGAGACCGGGAUUAGAUACCCCGUUAUUUCGGGAGGUAAAAGAUGACCACAGAGAAGUGAGUCUGCCUGGGUACUACAAGUUUUUGGUCUGAGGGAGUUUGACUAAGAAGAUUACUUAAAACUUAAAAGACUUGGCGGUGCCUUAAUUCUUGCCAGGGGAACCUGCCCCGUAACUGAUAGUCCACGUUUAAGCUUACCUUGCUAUGAAAGUGAAGACUUUACGAACAGCUUGUAUACCGUUGUCGUCAGGCAACCUUAAAGAGAUGAUAAGUGGCCGAAAGGGGGUAUUAAGCAGUGCUCUAUGCAUGUGCUAGAGUAGUGUCCUAGACGUCAAAUCGAGGUGCAGUUAAUAGUAAGGAUGGAGGUGGGUUACAAUAGACAUUGUCUAUACGGACUGUAGCCUGUAAUGGGUACAUGAAGGUGGACUUGGGAGUAAUUUAGUAUGUCUUAGAUUAGAAAGUCUAGGUGAAGUAAUGCUCUAAGGUGUGCACAAAUCGCCCGUCGCUCUUGUUGAGAAAUAAGAUAAGUCGUAACAUAGUAGGGGUACUGGAAAGUGUUCCCGGUGUGAA